GUCGGUGACAGCGUCAAAGACAAACUUGACGUUCUGUGUGUCGGUGGCGCACGUCAUGUGGGAGUAGAUCUCCUUCACGUCACGUCGCAUGUUAAGCUCGAGGAACUGCACCUUGAUGUAGUUGCCGGCAUCCUCAAAACGUCCUUCUUGUUGAGGAAGAGCACGAUGGAUGUAGUGGCGAAGUAACGGUGGUUGCAGAUGCUGUUGAACAGGUGCAGGCUCUCGUGCAUUCGGUUCUGGGGAAGGCAGAGGCUGUGGGGCACCAGGCUACGCCGGCAGCGGCCCCUUCGCCUCUGGGCUCCCCGGACUUAGGCGCCUCCCACCGCUCCCAGACAGCCUCGGCUCCUGUGAGUCUCGGCGGCUCCCCCGGCUCCACCUCCCUUCUCAAACACUUAGGCCCAACUUGGCACUCACCACUUCGUCGUCCUCCACCAGCACCAUGUCGUAAGCGCUCAGUGCGGCGAUGAAAAUGAUGCAGGUCACACCCUCGAAGCAAUGGAUCCACUUUUUGCGCUCGGAACGCUGCCCGCCCACAUCGAACAUUCUGUAGGUCAGAGCGGUGUCCGGAUUUAGACCCGUGUAUCAGGUCACCUGGAUAUGCCCACCGGCACCCCUUGUCUUCUUAAGCUGUCUGGGGCGCCCUCAUAUGGAUUGGCAUCUGAGGUGACCAGCCUUUCUCCUGGCAAGGGUAGGACCUUAACUCAGGACAGUGGAGUUGCCGUCAGGCCAGCUGAACAAGCGUGCAGGGGUCUUACCUGAAGUUGAGGUCCUUGAAGGAGAACUGCGUCUCGAUGAUGCCGGUGGUUUUGACACGAGAGCGCAGCACAUCCUGCUCAGUGGGCACAUAGCCUGGAGUCACCAGACGCUCUAGAUCUGAAAGAUAGCUGAGGAAGACCACUGGACAUGAGUGGGUAAGUGGUGUGGGAGAUCACCCCAGCUGGGGCCUGCCCAUCCACCUCCUCUGCUCCCCGCAUCCCCUUGUGCACUCACUAGCCAGCAGAGUCAUUGAGCUGGUACUCCGAGGCACGUUCGAAGCAAGCUUGGAUACCCGAGUCUUUCCACAAGCGCUGAAUGAUGUCGGACAUCUCCUUAGGCAUUGUGCCUUCCUCAAUGGUAUCCGCCAUGUGCAUCAGCUUCCGGGCAUCAUCCUGGUGACAGGGCAAGGUAGUGGCUGCGAACCUGAGCCUACCCAGGUGCCUUGAGCCCCCAGGGACUGAUAGCAGCCUGCCUCACCUGUCUCGCCGAAUCUCCAUACUGAAUGUUGAGCGUGGUCAUAGCCCGAACAAUGGCCAGGAUGGACUGCAGCGUGUUGCCAUAGAUGAUGGCAAUGAACUCCAGGCAUUCUUCCAGUGAAUAACCAUCCUGGUGGAUAAUCCUGCAGCCAAGACCGGCAGAGUCAGAGCUUCCUGGGCCAGUAGGGAGGGCUAUGGCUAAGGGCUUUAGGAUGGACAGGGAACACUCACUUCAUCUGCUUGACAAUGGUGCUCUUCCCGGAUUCACCAGCACCUGAAAGGGAAGCUGUGCCUCAGAGCCGCACUGACCAGCACUGACCACUUCCUUUGGAUCAGAGCCCUGGGGUGCCAGCUAGAACUCUAGAUACACUUGCCCUCAUUUCCAUCCAAAGCAAAGUCUUGAAGACCCCUGGGAGAAAUGGUUGUAAAUGACAAAAGGGUCCUACCUCAGUUAAGCGACCUUAACUGUGCCGGGGUGGGGUGGGGUAGAUACCCCCAAGAUUCCAGUUGUAGAGCUUUUACUAUGCUACAAGAUCAAAAUAAGGAAACCCUCUAGGGCCACCUUGUGGGGAUUUCCAGUAUUGCAUGCACAGGAUUAUCUGAACGGGACCAACCUCUGCUUUUCACCUAAAGAGAUGUCUCUGAGAGGCUCAGAAGGAAUUAGCACCCUUAGAUGGGGGGAGAGGACAGAGCUGACAUCCUUUCUGAGUCUGCCCUCCUCAAGGGUGUUGGAUACAAUUAAUGGGAUUUCCGGCUUAGUUUCUCAGCCUUUCUCCUGGGGGCCCUGGCUUAGUACCUCUGCCUGCCCCCCUAAACCAGCAACUUUCCCUUGGGGGUUAAGCAAUGGCAGUACACUCAUCUCUCUCACUACCCAUGGGGUCAUGGGCUUGGCUUUAUUUAUUCCUAUAGGCAUCAAUAUCUUUCCACCCCCCCCCCCAUUUCUCUAUGUAGCCCUGGCUAUUCUAGAAUUUGCUCCGUAGACCAGGCUGGCCUCAAACUCAGAGAUCUGCCUGCCUCUGCCUUCCGAGUGCUGGGAUUAAGGGCGUGUGCCACCACGGCCUGGCAUCUUUCCACUUUCUUUAGCUGUUUCACAGUCUACCAAGUUCUGGCAUCCAGUGCCUUUGUAGACAUGGGUGACCCUAGAAGCUUCUUAUUCCCAAGGGAGAAAGAGCAGCCAAGAGGACCUGAGCCUUGUUGAGCAGGCCUGGAAAACCACAGGCUGUACCUUGAGGGCAAAAGUGUGCCUGAGUGCACACACUUAUGCAAAGGUGUGUCUGGCGCACAGCUCUGCAGAGAGAAGGGCGUCCCCAGGAAAAUGCCUUAGGAUGCCCAACCUUGGGGGACCGAGACAUCAUCACCUGUCAGACCUUGCCGAGGAAUGGCCCCCACUCUGUGCUCGGCCCCACCGCAUUGUCACAUUGCCACCCCCCCCCCCAGGAAUCCUGGCUUCAUAGAAAGGCUGCUUGCCUGGCCCCAGGCCGCCAACCCGCAGCUGUCUCCUCCCCAACACUGGCCGGCAGGGACUCCUACCCAGCAGCAGCAGCUUCACCGUUCGAGCAUCUUUCUCAGCAUCCUCUUUCAGCUUCUUUUCUAGCUCUCUGGAAUGCUUCUCCUCAGCACUGGCCCCAGCCCCCAUGGUCCCAGCAGCAGGCAAAGGGACAGGGUAGGCAGCCUCCGGCCUCCUCAGACAACCCUUUGGCCCUAAGGCUGGCUAUCAACUGGCCCUGCACAGACCUGUGCGGGCCCUGGCGGGAUUGCUUAGUGGGAUUUGGGAGCUCGGAAUGCCCGAGGGCCAAUCAGAGACAAGGACAGGUGAGGCUCAGUCUCCUGGCCUUUUAAUCAGGCUGGCAAGGCCCCAAUCCAUCAACUGCUGACAGUGCACCCCUCUGCCCCCCCCCAAUUCUCCAGAAGAGACCCUAGAGAGUCCUUCCCCUGUCCUAUAGGGGUUCGCUUGGCAUAGUUGAGGGGAAAGACCCUUCAGCCCCAGGAGUAGGAAAACGGGCUGGGGAUUGGCAGGCGAAUGCUGAAGGAGAAGCAGGCAGAGGACCUACUGCUUGGCCAGCUGCAUCAGGACCACUCUUUUGUAAGCUUACGUGGAACUUGGGGGAAGGUGGUGCCCAAAACACAGCUCCACUUUACUGAUUAGGAGAGGCACAGGGUCACAUGAUUAGCAGUGGUUCACAAGGGUGGGGUAUCUCUGGAUCAGAGGGCUGUGUCUGCUGGAAGGCACCAGGGAAUAGGUUACUUUAUAUUUGCCUCACACUCAGGGCUAAAUGUGACCCCGAGCAUGGUCUCUACAUGCCUUCUGCAGGGUCAGUCUGCUAUACAUGCCUGGGUGUAUCUUUCUCUUCCUUACUAAUACCAAUUAAUGACUAGACACACUCGAGCCUGCAUAUCUGCAUGCAUGUGUAUCUGCUAGUAGCUUUUUAAGUGCAUGUGCCCUUACACACCUGUUUGAGACUAUGCAUGCAAUGUGUAUGUGCGUUGGCGCUGUGUGUAUAUAUGCUGGGGAUCAAAUCUAGGGAUCUCUGCAUUCUUGAGCUGCACCUCCAGCAUCCUACGCAUGCCUGUACAGGUACAGGUGUACGUAUGUUUAUUUUGCAGCGCUUUGUGUGGGUUCAUAGCUGUUCGUGUAUGCCUGAAUGUGCAAGUGUAGGUAACUGUGAUACACACUCUCAGCCCACUCGCCUAUGUAUUUAGAUGCACACCUGUGUCCCUGUGUGUAUGCAUAGAGCUUGUCUGUGCCAGUCCGUGAAC